CACGUAGGGGGCAAGCGUUGUCCGGAAUGAUUGGGCGUAAAGGGCGUGCAGGCGGCUUUGCAAGUCUGAUGUGAAAGGCAGCGGCUCAACCGUUGAGUGGCAUUGGAAACUGCGGAGCUUGAGUCCAGGAGAGGAGAGUGGAAUUCCACGUGUAGCGGUGAAAUGCGUAGAGAUGUGGAGGAACACCAGUGGCGAAGGCGGCUCUCUGGCCUGAGACUGACGCUGAGGCGCGAAAGCGUGGGGAGCGAACAGG
rnacentral:rRNA from 1 species